rnacentral:rRNA from 1 species
CGGACAAAAGCUACGCUAGGGAUAACAGGCUUAUGCGGGCAGAGAGUUCACAUCGAAUCCCGCGUUUGGCACCUCGAUGUUGGAUCAUCGCGUCCUGGGGCUUCAGAAGGUCCCGAGGGUUGGAUUGUUCAUCCAUGAAAGCGGUACGUGAUCUGAGUUCAGAACGUCGUGAGACAGUUCGGUUUCUAUCUAUGUCAGCGAGGAAGAGUUGCUACAGGGGUGUUAGUACGAAAGGACCAAACGCCCCCGAACCUCUGGUGCACCUGUUGCGGAAGCGCGCAUCGCAGGGCAGCUAAGUU